rnacentral:rRNA from 1 species
GGAAUAUUGGACAAUGGGCGCAAGCCUGAUCCAGCCAUACCGCGUGGGUGAAGAAGGCCUUCGGGUUGUAAAGCCCUUUUGUUGGGAAAGAAAAGCAGUCGAUUAAUACUCGGUUGUUCUGACGGUACCCAAAGAAUAAGCACCGGCUAACUUCGUGCCAGCAGCCGCGGUAAUACGAAGGGUGCAAGCGUUACUCGGAAUUACUGGGCGUAAAGCGUGCGUAGGUGGUUGUUUAAGUCUGUUGUGAAAGCCCUGGGCUCAACCUGGGAAUUGCAGUGGAUACUGGGCGACUAGAGUGUGGUAGAGGGUAGUGGAAUUCCCGGUGUAGCAGUGAAAUGCGUAGAGAUCGGGAGGAACAUCCAUGGCGAAGGCAGCUACCUGGACCAACACUGACACUGAGGCACGAAAGCGUGGGGAGCAAACAGGAUUAGAUACCCGGG